UCGGGCUGAGGGGCGGGAAACCCGGUCUCCGGCGCCGAGUGGGGAAGGCGGGAGCUUGGGAUGCGGAGUGCACACCUCGUAGGCCGGGGCCUUUCGAGGCCUAACUGUUCCUCAGGCCGUAAAAACCACAGUCCCAGGCACUUUUCGGGGUGAUAAGAGUCCAAGACGCGACCAGGAUGAGUUCCUAAGGGGCCAACCUUAGACCCGCUUAUGAAUGGACGGUUAGCGUGAAGUCCUGUCAGGCGACCCACGUACGAGAAACUAGAGGCCUUUUGUGACUGCAAGCUCUAUAUGUUGUCCACGGAGGCCACUCUUGCUGGAAUUCACUUACGAACAGUUGCCCCAGGCUGCGAGAUGGGGUCCGAGUGUUGGCCUCAGGCCCAACCCAAAUGUGGCCUCAGAGGGAGCCCCAAAUGCUGACGCUACAAGUCUAGUGAGAUGGAAAACCUCUAACUGAGAAUCUGCUUGUAUCUUAAGUGGAGGUCCCUGUCUUCUCUUUAUUUCCCUUCAGGGUACUUCUAAGCAACUACCUAGAGCUAGAUGUUUUGGGAGAAAGUGAGAAAAAGAGGCAGGUCCUCCUGUCGAGUAAAAUGUUGGUUUCCAUUUUCCCUGAUGUUGAGUACCGGACAUCCCCUUGGGCUCCCAAGUCGUCUACAAGCCUAGAAGGAUCCCCAAGUGUACCUCAGUUUUGCUAGAGAUUUGGAACCUGGGGGUUGAACAACCCUUAAGGGGCACACGAUAACGCUGCCUGGUGAACCAAGUGCAAGAAGCAUGUGUUGGAGUAGAAAUGCCUGAAAGUAGACAGGAAGAGCUCUUGUUUGUCACGGAACUAUGUUAGAUACUAAAGAAGGCUUCCCCACCAUCCAUAUUCAUCUGCUUUGACUGGUGUUUUCUCUCAACCUACAAAGACUGUGGCUUAUUGGUGAGGGCAGUUGGACAACUCAGAGCAACUUAGAGAAAUCCAUCUUGAGCUCCUUCUCUGGAAAUAGCACCCCAGAUAAGUGCCCAAAAGCAAGAAACCCUCAUGGACCUACUUCCUCCCGCUUUCAGCACGUUGAUGCCUGAAGCUGUGCUUGAUACUAAAGGAGGUUUUCCCACAUACGCAUCUUCUGUAUUUUGCAAUUACAACUGUGGACAGUUUUGGCUAAUCCUAGUAGAAUGUCUUCCCUUCUUUUAACAUCUUGGAUGAAUUUGGGGGCACAUUAAUGUGUUAUGGAAGAUGGAUGUUGAAUGUAAGUUUCUUGUUAUUCUUAGCCAAUAUAUGAAAAUUACAGUUAGCCUGAUUGCUAAAAAUGUCAAGGAUUUGUGAUCAGUAUCCUUCUGGAAAAUGUAGUUUUCUUGUUUUCUUACCAUAUAGAUUCUUUGUAGAGUUACCCCAACCAGCCACCUUAAAUACCUGCAUGGGCAACAGAGAGAUCUGUGGAGAGAGUUUGGGUAAAGUCAAUGCUUAUGAACACAGGUAUGGGGUUUAUUUGGGGGGAUGGGAGUAUUCUGGAAUCAGACCAUGUUGAUGGUUAUACUAAAAGCCACUGAAGUGUACACUUUAAAAUGGUGACUUUUUAUGGUGUAUAAGUUACUUCUCAAUUUUUUUUUUUAAAAAAAGGAUUGUUAAAAUCAGUGUACUAAAAAACAUUUUUAAAAAAUCGGUGUAUAUGAGUCGCUGCUACUCAAGAGACCUUAGACACAUGGCCUGUCAGGGCUUGGUAGUAUCAUUCAGCAUGGGAGAGCCCACAGUUUUCAAAAAGCUCCUUGGCACCCUUCUCCCAGCUUUCUCAAUGGCUUCAUCUCCGUAUAUCCAUUCUAGGCGAAUGCCUCCAUGUUGUAAGUCUAUGGAGAUUCUUUUAAGAAGUGAAUACUCAGCAAGUUUGGGAUUCUGGUUGUUGGUAGUUGUACUUUAAAUUGUCUCUGAAUUGAUAACCAUUAUAUAGAACAAGCACACUUUUCCAAUAGCUUCGUAAAAUGAAUUGUGUUUAUUUAGUAAGGUGGGUGGGAGGUAGAAGAGGUUGCUGUUCUGCUAAAAUGAACCGAUUCUGUUCAUCAGGUGUUGUGAUGAUUGUUUUAAUGAUCACAUGGGCAUUUCUGUAAGGAUAGGCCAUGUGUUUCAGGCAUUUAAAAUGAUAUCAAUGGCUAUAAUAUUUUUAGUUCAAAUAAUCACAAUUAACUUUUAAUUUCUUUAUAAAAUCCCUCAACUUUAACCCCUUUUUUCUUUGCCAGUGUAUAGUAUUUGAUGACAGUUUCAAGAGCUGAUGAGGAAGAGAAGAUGGAAAGGAGUCUAGAGACUUAAAAAUCUCAUAGCGUUUUCUGUGAGGUGACCUUUUUCCUGUUGGUGGCUCAAUUUAUUUAGGAGACAAAGAUAUUAAGGUCUGUGAUAGUAUUGUCAUGCCAUAUCUGAACUUACUGAAAUAUUCCCUCCCUUUCCUUAUUGUUUAUAUCUUGGUUUGCUUUUUGUGUUCAUAAGUUGACUCAUUUGUUUCCCAUUAGUAUUUGAAACAUCUUAUGGCCACCAUGAGUCCUAACAGAAUGACUUCUUGUGAGAAGCCGAUGGGUGUUCCCACAUUCCUAUGAAAUUUUGGCCUAUUCACUAAACUACUGCCAUUGAAGAGAGAUAGUUAAUGCUUCAGAAGGAAGAGGUUGAUAAACCCUUGGCGUGGUGUGUUAUGACUUGAAAGUUUUUAAGCAGUGGUUUUUAUAUCUAAGCUUGUGUUCAUUUUGGUAAGAGCAUUACUUUUUUUAUUUUACUUUUACUGCUGAGAAGUGCCAAGCAUCUGGUAGUUCAGGAUUUGUGCUAAGUCAAACAUAACAUAAAUUAGACUUCUCUGGUGGUCCAGUGGUUAAGACUCCAUGUUUCUAAUGAAGUGGGUGUGGAUUCAGUCCCUGGUUGGGGAACUAAGAUUCCAUGUGCUGCAUGGUGAGGCAACAAACAGAACAACAAAAAACCCACAUAAAUUAGAAGCACACACUUGUAUUUUCUUAGUUAAAACCAAAUCAGACAGAUUUUUACUAUUGAACUAAGUACUUUUAUAAUGAAUACACAAGAUGAAUAUUAUAUACCCAGUAGAGUAGGUUGAAGUUAACAUUUCUGUUUUUGCUGUUAUUUUAUGGUAUUGUAAGUAUGGCCUGUCAAAAACUCCAUGACAUGUUUUCAACAGCUUCUAGAGAGUUGCUUAUACUUAUUUAUUACUGCUGUUGUUUUUCCUAUAGCUCAAUGAAGAAAAGCAUAGUUAACAGUCCACAUGGUGUUUAAGUGUAGGGACACUAGGCCCAGACUGUCUUGAGUUGCAAGGCCGGCUCUCCCACUUACUAGCUGUGGGAUUUUGGGCAAGUGACUUUCCUCGUGCGUCAGUUUCCUGACGAUACUGAUAGUACCUGUGCCACGGGUCAUUAUGAGGAUUCAGUUAGUGUGUAUAAAGUGCCUAAAACCAUGCCUGGCACUUAGCACAGUGAAAGUACUCUUCUUACUCAUUAUCUGAACAAUGUCCAGGUUACUGCUUUCAGGAGCAUUGCUGUCUCCUUCAACAGCCUGAGCCUGUGUUGUCUUCAGAGCAUAUUCCUCUCUUCUGUAUCCAUUGGAAUUUCACUUCAGUCGCCGUUCUUACAGCCUUCAUCAGCCUGGUUAUAGCUUACAUGAUGAAUUAGUUCUAAACAGAUCUACUCUUUCAGGGAUACAGACUUUGUUGUACAGAAAACUGUUAAAAAUAACACAUCAGUUCAAGCUUUCUACUAAAAUGCUCAUCAAAUUGGAAGCUUUUCAGGCCAGUUGUGUACAAGAAGACUUUGAAUCAAAACAAGGUGUUAUCUAAUUUAGAGAAGAAUAAACCAGAAUAUUCAAUGGUCCUCACAUAUUCUCCAGAAUCAAUGAUACGAGUCACUGAUUACAUGAACUUGCUUCAAUUUUACCUGUUGCAAGAUCCUUAGGCCAAGGAGAUAGUUAUAGAAAGAGGGAACCAGGGACACCAUCUGGUACUGUUCAUGGUUCUUGUUCAUUCUUGGGGCUGGGGCAGUUCACAGGUGUCAGCUCUUUCCCAGUGAAGAAUGGGCUGAAUUCACUUGCGAUGAGUGACUCCCUACGUUAAAUUUUUGCUUGCUAAAAUGCCUGUUGUAUACACAUACACAUACACAGGACCAUGGGUCCCUGUGUAUGCAUCUGUGUUAGGAUCGUUUCACUAUAUCUCGGAGGUUGCUACUGGCCCUAAGGUCUUUGGCUAAAACCUAGUUAUAGAAUCAAAGCCUGUCUUAAAGAUUUAGACAUACACAGAAAUUUACUAGAUGCUUAUUUUGUUUGCCUGAAGAAUACUCUUUGAACUUGCUUUUUCUGCCAGAAAGAAUGUUCUAAACCAGGAUCACGUCAGAAGAUAGCAUUUUGCCAGAAUUUAUCAGUGCUUUAUCCAGAUAUUUACCAGUUACGAAUUUUAGCUCUAUUUUUUUUUUUUUUUGGCUGCUCUGGGUCUUCACUGUGGCCCACAGGCUCAAUAGUUGCAGCAUGUGGGCCUAGUUUUCCCGUUGGCACGUGGAAUCUUAGUUCCCUGACCAGGGAUUGAGCCUGUGUCCCCUGCUUUGGAAGGUAGAUUCUUAAUCACUGGACCACCAGGGAAGUCCCUGGUGCAGUUUUUUAAAAAACUGUUUUGGUGGGGGGUGGCAAAUCCUACUGGUGUGGUUAUUGUUAUAAUGUUGUAUGGUUUCUGGAUUAUGUUGGGUGUGAAACAGAAUGUGUUUGUAGAUCUUUACACACGUUGAGUCUAGAACUGCUAAUAGUUUACCUAACAUUUUUCAAAAAUGAGGAAAGAUUUCUUUGCAAAUUCUAAGAAAUAUUUAUUGUUACACACACAUACGCACACACACAGAUAAAUAAUUUAGGAUUCUUAAUGUACUGCUUAUCUGCUCUUACAAUAUUCUUGAAAUUAAGGAUUUUAUUCUCAAACUUAAAAAGGAAGAAUCUUUGGUAAGCCAUUAAGUAUGAGCUCUGUGACCAAAUUUCUUUAUAGGAGUUAUAUAUGGUAGAAAAAAAAGUAGCCAGUAAGGUUAAUAUGAAUAUGGACAACAGUAGAUUAUAUUAGUAGAUAAGUGUCAUUGGACACUACACUAAUGAGUUAUUUUUGGGGGCGGGGGGCUUGUUUGUUUUUUCUUUUGUUAGUUUCAGAAUCCUGUCACGUUGUGACUCGGUCUCAACAAGGAAUAUUUAAGAACAGGUUCGUUUCUUGCAUUUUAAGAUUUCUUUUUCCACAAUAAAGUUUGUAUAUUGCCUGAAACAGACAAAAGUCAAAUUUUAUAAGACUAGCUGUAAUAAAGAUGAACAGUGGUGACUUAUUAGGGACAUGGGUACAUCUGUCGUGUUGCCAGAUCUCUGUGGCCCCCGUGGGAGGCUUAGGAGCAGUGACCACUGACUGGCUAGGAGAACAGCCAGGCUCCCAGGAGCAGGGCCAUGACCUCCAGGCUGCGAGGCGUCCAGGGUGGGCUGCUGCUGUUGGCUCAGUCUGUUGUCUCCUUUUUGUUGGGCUCAUAGAUUGCUGUUUAUUGUGCACAUUGGGAGUCCUGAGCCCACCCAGUGUUGCCGCACCAUCUCUUCCUGUUGCUUUUCCAGAGGCCAUCAUUGUCUUGCCUUUUUGUUCAGAUCUGACCAUUCUACAUAUGAAUCCACUCAGACUUUACAUAUCAGAAGCAAGAUGACAUUUUAGGAGUCAUUCGUUUUACAAAAAAGUUUACCACAGUUGACUUUUCACUUAACUGUUCUGACUUAUUAGCAACAUACAUCUUUUGUUUAAUUUUGGAUCAGAUAGAUUCCCUGUCAAGUUGUCAGUAAAAUUGUAGACUUCUUUCCUAACAAGUUUUCUUUAUCUUAAAUGUAAAGUUACAGUAAAGAAAAGUUAUGAUAACCACUAAAAUCAACCAUUAAUACUGGAUGUAUUUUUUUUUUCUGUAUAUAGUUUAGCUAGUUGUCUGGUUAUAUUUAUAUAUUUUUUUCUUUCACUUAAUGUAUCUCUGUUUAUCUUUGCACAUUCUCAGCAACAACUGCAGAGCAAGCCAUCCCACUGGUUGCUUUUCUAGUCUGCUUGUGAGGCUGAAGAUCUUAAAUUUAGCGUUGAGUGUGAGAAACAAGGCCGUGUAGACAUUGCAGGGAAGGUAGCUAGAGAAGUUACUGGUUUCUUAAAUUGCCAGGAGAAACAUCUAAGUUGCCUCUCAGUGUUUCACUGGGUUAGUGCACAGCUGCUGUGGACCACGCUUAUACCACUUGGGAUGCUUUAAUGUUUCUGCUUUUUCUCGGACAAACGUGUCUUGAACACCUGCUGCAAGCUGGCUUUGUGCAAGGGCACAAAGAUGAGCAAACCCGGUUGUAUACAGAGCAGUUGAAAUUCUCUAUGGUGGGGCCAUACCAGUGUCUUCAAACAGUGUGAAGGAAACACAGAGGAGGGGGUGAUUAAUACCCCUGGGCAGGGCAGGAAACACUCCUGCGGAUCUAGACACAGCCCAGAGGGGAUCUGGAGGCAGGAGCAGCAUGACCGAAAGCAUGGAGAUAAAAAGUGAGGGGAGGCUGUGGUGUGUUGCGGAUUACCCACCCUUCAGAUAGAGGGUGGCAACCUGGGGCUCUGUGCCAGACCCACCCAGCUGCCUGCAUGUGUGUGGCGGGUGAGCCGAGAGCAGGUUUUACAUUUUUAAUGGUCGAAAAAGAAUAAUAUCUUGUGACACAUGAAAAUUACAUGAAAUUUAAUUUUCAGUAUCCAUAAAUAAAGCUUUAUUGGAACCCGCACUCAUUGACUUACAUAUCGUCUAUGGUCGCGUUUGCAGUUUAACCCCAGAGUUCAGUAGUUGUGAUGGAGACCAGGCGGUUGCUCUGCAUUCACACAUGUGCUGGGGCUCUGAAUUGCCGUGUGGUGCACUACAAAUCACGGUGACACAGUUACAACGUGACAGUGUUUCUAGCGCCACAGAGUUUUAUUUAUUCUUUAUCACAAGUGCCUAACUGUCAUGUCAAAACGAGAGGAAGAGAAAAAUGGACUUGAAAUGCCAUGUUUUUAGGGCACAGCGGAGUGGGUUUUCUUGUCCCUGAAUUAGUUGGCCGAGCUAUCUGUAAUUAAAAAGCUGUACUGAGAGAGUCCAUCAGCAUUACCAGACUACACAGUUGUCACAAUAUUCCCAACUCAUAGGGAGGCAACAGUCAGAAAAAUUAAAAUUUUAAAGAGACUGUUUUGUUACAGCGGAACUUCUCCACAAAAAUGAAAAUGAGGCUACAACUGAAAAUGAGGCCUCAUUUGUUAACCAGGCAAGGGAAGCCAUACUGAUAUUGAAUUAAUUAAAUUGCAUUUGAUUGCGGGAACUGAAGAAAUAUGUCCAGAGCAUUUGUUUAAAAGAGCGUUAGCUGUUCAGCAAGAACAGUUUCACAAAAUGAUGAGGUCAAUGGGAGCAACAUCAAUAGUAAAUUAAAAACAAGGCAAAUGAUUUUGUGUAGUUUUUCUUGGCUCUUGAUGAGUCAACAAGCUGUUGUUUUAUUCGUGGAGUCAAUGCCAUGUUUGAAGUGAGUGAAGAAGUAGUCUCUUUGAAUAAUCUACUUAAAACAGCUGCAGCUGAGAAUAUUUUCAAAAAAGACAAGAAAAUACUAAUUCAGUACAACCUGAAGUAUAAUCUGUUAAUAUCUGUCACAACAAAUGAUGGUAGGAAUAUGUGCAGAGCAGAAAAUGAUUUAAUCUGUCAUGAGCUAUUGAAAUGCUAGGAUCAGUGAUGAACUUCACUCCCUCUUGUGGGAUUUAACUAUCCUCAGUUCCAUGAAUUUUUAUCAGAAAUAAAGGCUGAAUAUUCUGACAUGCCCUACUACACAACCAUUUGAUAGCUUAGCAGUGGUAAAAUUCUCUUGUAGUUUUUUGAAUUGAGGGCUGAGAUUGAAAUUUUUCUGAAAGAACAACCAUUUUCAGCCACUAUUACUGAACACUGAAUGGCUUUGGAAAUUAGCUUUUGCUGCAGACUUGAUGAUUUUUCUUAAUUCAUUCUAAAAUUACAAGGAAAAACAUCACUUAUAUGCAAACUUUAUAUUGAAACACUGGGCUGGAGGAAGCACAAGCUGGAAUCAAGAUUGCCAGGAGAAAUAUCAAUAACCUCAGAUAUGCAGACGACACCACCCUUAUGGCAGAAAGUGAAGAAGAACUAAAAAGCCUCUUGAUGAAAGAGGAGAAUGAAAAAGUUGACUUAAAGCUCAACAUUCAGAAAACUAAGAUCAUGGCAUCUGGUCCCAUCACUUCAUGGGAAAUAGAUGGGGAGACAGUGGAAACAGUGUCAGACUUUAUUUUUUGGGGCUCCAAAAUCACUGCAGAUGGUGAUUGCAGCCAUGAAAUUAAAAGACGCUUACUCAAAAAUAAAAAAAAGACGCUUACUCCUUGGAAGGAAAGUUAUGACCAAUCUAGAUAGCAUCUUAAAAAGCAGAGGCAUUACUUUGCCAACAAAGGUCCGUCUGGUCAAGGCUAUGGUUUUUCCAGUGGUCAU